GACCUCCGCGCACGCCCUCGGCCAAAGCCGCCUUGCGCGCGGGUGGGAGCCGCGGAAAAGCCACGUGGAGCGCAGCUGUGCGCGCCGGGCUCCGCAGCCCGGACCAGCCAGCCCGGGGCCGCGCGGCGGGGCUCCUUACGUUUCGCCUUCCUCUCUGGCUGCCCGUGCGGAGCAGCGGGUCGAGGUCUGCAGUGUUAAGCUUUGUGCUGAAAGCGAGCAACAGAAAUCACCGAGGAUCAUAUUCUGAGCCAAA